GACGAACGCUGGCGGCGUGCCUAAUACAUACAAGUAGAACGCACAGUUUAUACCGUAGCUUGCUACACCAUAGACUGUGAGUUGCGAACGGGUGAGUAACGCGUAGGUAACCUGCCUGGUAGCGGGGGAUAACUAUUGGAAACGAUAGCUAAUACCGCAUAAUAUUAAUUAUUGCAUGAUAAUUAAUUGAAAGGUGCAAUUGCACCACUACCAGAUGGACCUGCGUUGUAUUAGCUAGUAGGUGAGGUAACGGCUCACCUAGGCGACGAUACAUAGCCGACCUGGGAGGGGGAUCGGCCACACUGGGACUGAGACACGGCCCAGACUCCUACGGGAGGCAGCAGUAGGGAAUCUUCGGCAAUGGACGAAAGUCUGACCGAGCAACGCCGCGUGAGUGAAGAAGGUUUUCGGAUCGUAAAGCUCGGUUGUAAGAGAAGAACGGGUGUGAGAGUGGAAAGUUCACACUGUGACGGUAUCUUACCAGAAAGGGACGGCUAACUACGUG
rnacentral:rRNA from 1 species